UUCUCUGUCUCCUCAUGCUCCUUGAGAGAUUCACCUAGAGGAAGAUGGUUCGGUUGAGUUGCACAAAUCGGCGGGGUUACGAGACCGAGGAGUGAAGAAGAAUCAAGAUCCUCGGGAGAGUCCUUUUUGCCUCUGUUUUCAUACUCUCUGCAUGUGAAUUGGAAACAUGUGAUCACUUCAAUUGUAUGCUGGACUUUAAUGGUUUCCCUGCUUUUCUACCUAUCCACGGUGUUUGGGUCUGUUCAAAUGCUUAGAGUCUAUGGUGUUCCCUACAUGGUAAGUCAAACACAUUCCAUUCUCAAAGUG